UAUUCUGCCCUACAGGGAAGGAUGAGAAGCUUCGACUAAGGUUCGACUCGAGCGAAGCGAGAGAACGUUGCCGCAGGCAACGGCCCGAAGGGCGAGGAGCUUUAGCGCCGAGUAAUCCUUCCCCCACCACCA
rnacentral:sRNA from 1 species